AUUGAACGCUGGCGGCAGGCCUAACACAUGCAAGUCGAGCGGAUGAGUGGAGCUUGCUCCCUGAUUCAGCGGCGGACGGGUGAGUAAUGCCUAGGAAUCUGCCUGGUAGUGGGGGACAACGUUUCGAAAGGAACGCUAAUACUGCAUACGUCCUACGGGAGAAAGUGGGGGAUCUUCGGACCUCACGCUAUCAGAUGAGCCUAGGUCGGAUUACCUAGUUGGUGAGGUAAAGGCUCACCAAGGCGACGGUCCGUAACUGGUCUGAGAGGAUGAUCAGUCACACGGGAACUGGGAAACGGUCCAGACUCCUAGGGGAGGAAGCAGUGGGGAAUAUUGGAAAAUGGGCGAAAGCCUGAUCAAGCAAUGCCGGGUGUGUGAAGAAGGUCUUCGGAUUGAAAAGCACUUUAAGUUGGGAGGAAGGGCAGUAAGUUAAUACGUUGCUGUUUUGACGUUACCAACAGAAAAAGAACCGGCUAACUUCGUG
rnacentral:rRNA from 1 species